AUAGCUUUUUGCAGCGUUCAAAUUGAGUUCAGUGCAUCGGUAUGCUUUUAAGUGAUUUGUAGUUCUCAGGGAAUCAGUCAUUGUUAAAAUGAUGUGCAAAACAUUUGUGAUUGAGGAGAACUUCACAAAUGUUCUCUUAACAUGUGGGUUGUGUCUGUGACUUAGAAACACAAUAUAUAAGUCAGUCUCGUUAUGAGUUGUGGGUUUCUAUGUUCAUGUUUAUGUGUUUACUUACGCUUAUAAACUGAGUAGUCUUGUACUUUUUUAGUUUACUUGUAGUACUUGUAAGUGUGUUUAAAGAAGAAGCGUAAGU
rnacentral:lncRNA from 1 species